rnacentral:rRNA from 1 species
AUUGAACGCUGGCGGCAGGCCUAACACAUGCAAGUCGAACGGUAACAGGAAGACGCUUGCUUCUUUGCUGACGAGUGGCGGACGGGUGAGUAAUGUCUGGGAAACUGCCUGAUGGAGGGGGAUAACUACUGGAAACGGUAGCUAAUACCGCAUAACGUCGCAAGACCAAAAAGGGGGACCUUCGGGCCUCUUGCCAUCGGAUGUGCCCAGAUGGGAUUAGCUAGUUGGUGGGGUAACGGCUCACCUAGGCGACGAUCCCUAGCUGGUCUGAGAGGAUGACCAGCCACACUGGAACUGAGACACGGUCCAGACUCCUACGGGAGGCAGCAGUGGGGAAUAUUGCACAAUGGGCGCAAGCCUGAUGCAGCCAUGCCGCGUGUAUGAAGAAGGCCUUCGGGUUGUAAAGUACUUUCAGCGGGGAGGAAGGGAGUAAAGUUAAUACCUUUGCUCAUUGACGUUACCCGCAGAAGAAGCACCGGCUAACUCCGUG